rnacentral:misc_RNA from 1 species
GCUUGCAAUUAGCAACUGCUUCUUUUUUUUUUUUUUUUAAUCUGGGUGGAUGGAUUUUGUAUUCCAUGCCGUGAGUUUCCGCUAACAAGAACUGUGUACAGUGAGAGAGCUUUAGACAGGCACGCUUUGUUUUUUUACUCGUGUGGCUUGUAUUUUUUUUUUUUUAAUUAAUCUUGGAAGAAAAUAGUUUGUUUUGGAAAUAUCGUAGUCGCUGACUCGAAAAAUGUUUAUUUUUGAACUUAGAAUCCAGGGUUUAUGAGCUGGAAUUAUUAUGGUAGUUCAAUUGUUGGUUGUCAACUAAUUUGAAUAAUAAUUUGAUUAUGUAAUUAUCUUAAAUGUUCUGAUUUUAGAAAGGGUUAGAGUUUAUUAGUAGAAGUAUUUUCAAAAGAUGCUAGAUAACUGACAAAGAACAUGUGGUUGUUGGAGAUUGGGUAGAGAGAUGUACUGUGCGUGCACGUAAUCACUGAUUAUCGAUAUUAAUAAAACGACUUUUU